AUACGGAGGGUGCAAGCGUUGUCCGGAAUCACUGGGUGUAAAGGGUGUGUAGGCGGGGCUGUAAGUCAGAGGUGAAAUCCUGCGGCUCAACCGUAGAACUGCCUUUGAUACUGCAGCUCUUGAGUCUCGGAGAGGUCAUUAGAAUUCGUGGUGUAGCGGUGAAAUGCGUAGAUAUCACGAGGAAUACCAGAGGCGUAGGCGGAUGACUGGACGAGUACUGACGCUGAGGCACGAAAGCGUGGGGAGCAAACAGGAUUAGAUACCCCAGUAGUCC
rnacentral:rRNA from 1 species